GAAAAAACAAGAAAGUCCAGUUGCCUCUUGAAAAAGCACCUUUGGAUUCCCCCUCCCCAGGAAUAGUAAAGACAUCCUGAGUCAAGCUCGAUUCCAGAUGAUUACAUCCACACAGUUUUCUUGGCAGCAUUGUGGAAGAGGUUUGCCAAUGUCUUUUUCCAGAAUGUUUCUUCAACUUUCCAGUCUAAUGCAAAUGUUUACUUCAUUCAGAAAAGAUAAAUAAAACAUUUUCCCACA